rnacentral:snRNA from 1 species
GGUUGUGAGGGAGAUCUGGCUGCGACAUCUGUCACUCCAUUGAUCACCAGGGUUGAUUCGGCUGAUCUGGCUGGCUAGGCGGGUGUCCCCUUCCUCCCUCACCGCUCCAUGUGCGUCCCUUCCGAAGCUGCGCGCUCUGUGGAAGAGGACGAUGUCCCAGGUAUAGAAGGAGUGUACCAAGGUCUCCAGUCUUCGGUCCCGGGUAUACGAUAGCUGCGCUCCCCUGCUAGAACCUCCAAACAAGUUCAAGGUUAUUCACUUUCCUUUACAUAUUCUGCCAGGGCAUAUUCUUCUUCUUUGACUGCUUGUUUUACUUGUAAGAGUCCUCUGC